AUACGAACCGUCCGAACGUUGUUCGGAAUCACUGGGCUUAAAGGGUGCGUAGGCGGUGCGGUAAGUUGGGUGUGAAAUCCCUCGGCUCAACCGAGGAACUGCGCCCAAUACUGCCGUACUUGAGGGAGACAGAGGUAAGCGGAACUGAUGGUGGAGCGGUGAAAUGCGUUGAUAUCAUCGGGAACACCGGUGGCGAAAGCGGCUUACUGGGUCUCUUCUGACGCUGAGGCACGAAAGCUAGGGGAGCGAACGGGAGUAGAAACCCCAGUAGUCC
rnacentral:rRNA from 1 species